rnacentral:lncRNA from 1 species
AUCAAAGUAGGUCCAAUCGUCAUAGUUCUUGUGUUUGUUGCUACUAAAAAAUUACCUGAAUAUAUAUAUUCGCAUUCUGACUUUUUUAAAUGCCCAUUUAAUGAGGUGUGUGAAUUUUUCUGAAUAAGACGAUGAGGCAAAGUUGUAUAUAGGGUAGAAAUAUCAAAAGCACCAAUUAUAAUCAUGCAAUUUAUCAAGUACCUCGAACCAAUUUU